GACCCUAGGUCAGGCGGGACUACCCGCUGAUUUUAAGCAUAUUAAUAAGCGGAGGAAAAGAAACUACAAGG
rnacentral:rRNA from 1 species